rnacentral:tRNA from 1 species
GGUUCUAGCUCAGAGGUAGAGUACUCACCUAGCAUGUGCAAGGCCCUGGGUUCAAUCCUCAGCACCA